AGAGGACCUCUGUGAGCUCUACCCUCUGAGAGAACAAGGAACUCUGGUUCUUCCCUGACAGGUCACACCUGUGAAACAUGGCUGGACAAUGACACUCAAGCCCAGAAUUCGUACCCACAUAUUUACCAAUUCAGAUCCAUCUGUCUCUGAAAGAAUUUCUCCUCCGCUGAAUUGCAAGAACAUACCCUAGGGUGUGCAGUAUUGCAACUUGGGCAUUUCACAUUAGUUUGGUGAAUUAUAUAAUACACAAAAUAUCUCCAUGGAUGUUGUAACAGGAGAGUCAUCAGAAGCUGGUUGUGUUGUAUAAUCUGGAUAAACCUGGGCUCUCUUCUUAGGAGCUGAACAAGUGGGCUGGCCUUCUAUGAGACGACAGAGGGAAAGAGACAGACUCAAUAUCCAGAGCGAGGGAAUAUUUCAUCGGCGUGUAGACAUCUACGUGGGUGUGUACAGGGAUGCUAGGAUGUGCUCAUACACAGAAGAGCAAGAAUUAUAUUUCGUGGAAAGAAAACCAAAGAGCUUCUGAAUUUACUCUCUUGGAUGUCCAGAUUUGAACAUGUGGAGUGUUGAUGGAACUCAACAUAACUAGGAACUUUUCAGUGAAGGUGUAGGUAACAAUACAAGAUUAUUCUGUUGCCCAGGCUGGAGUGCAGACUCACCUAUUAAUUUAACAGCAUAAAAACGAUCAGUCCAAUUUACGUAGUCCUGUAAUCUCCAUCAAGGAUUUAGGUCCAUGUGGCCUGUGACAGAGCUCUAGUCACAGAGGGAAGAGAGUGGUUUGUUGGGUUGAUGCUGCUUCUUCAGAGGGGAAUUUAAACAACUCCUCACCUCAUCAAGUCUAUUUUUAUAACUGUGCAAGACCCUUGGGAAUGCACUCACCAUUUCUUACAUAAUGGGAGUUGACUGUGUCAUGAAGGUAACACGAAGAUGUGCAAAUUUAAAGCCUGGUUACAUAAC
rnacentral:lncRNA from 1 species